GACAGAGGUGCCAAGCGUUAGGCGGAAUCACUGGGCUUAAAGCGUGUGUAGGCGGAUCGUUAAGUACCUUGUGAAAUCCCACGGCUCAACCGUGGAACUGCUGGGUAUACUGGCGAUCUUGAGCCACCUAGGGGCGAGCGGAACAAGCGGUGGAGCGGUGAAAUGCGUAGAUAUCGAGAGGAACACCUGCGGCGAAGGCGGGUUGCUGGGCUGAUACUGACGCUGAGGCGCGAAAGCCAGGGGAGCGAUCCGG
rnacentral:rRNA from 1 species